rnacentral:rRNA from 1 species
AUUGAACGCUGGCGGCAUGCCUUACACAUGCAAGUCGAACGGUAACGCGGGGGCAACCCUGGCGACGAGUGGCGAACGGGUGAGUAAUACAUCGGAACGUACCCAGUAGUGGGGGAGUAGCUCGGCGAAAGCCGGAUUAAUACCGCAUACGACCUAUGGGUGAAAGCGGGGGAGUCGCAAGACCUCGCGCUAUUGGAGCGGCCGAUGUCGGAUUAGCUAGUUGGUGAGGUAAAAGCNCACCAAGGCUACGAUCCGUAGCUGGUCUGAGAGGACGACCAGCCACACUGGGACUGAGACACGGCCCAGACUCCUACGGGAGGCAGCAGUGGGGAAUUUUGGACAAUGGGCGAAAGCCUGAUCCAGCCAUGCCGCGUGUGUGAAGAAGGCCCUCGGGUUGUAAAGCACUUUUGUCCGGAACGAAACGGCGAA